GAUGAACGCUGGCGGCGUGCCUAAUACAUGCAAGUCGAGCGAACGGACGAGAAGCUUGCUUCUCUGAUGUUAGCGGCGGACGGGUGGGUAACACGUGGAUAACCUACCUAUAAGACUGGGAUAACUUCGGGAAACCGGAGCUAAUACCGGAUAAUAUUUUGAACCGCAUGGUUCAAAAGUGAAAGACGGUCUUGCUGUCACUUAUAGAUGGAUCCGCGCUGCACUAGCUAGUUGGUAAGGUAACGGCUUACCAAGGCAACGAUGCAUAGCCGACCUGAGAGGGUGAUCGGCCACACUGGAACUGAGACACGGUCCAGACUCCUACGGGAGGCAGCAGUAGGGAAUCUUCCGCAAUGGGCGAAAGCCUGACGGAGCAACGCCGCGUGAGUGAUGAAGGUCUUCGGAUCGUAAAACUCUGUUAUUAGGGAAGAACAUAUGUGUAAGUAACUGUGCACAUCUUGACGGUACCUAAUCAGAAAGCCACGGCUAACUACGUGCCAGCAGCCGCGGUAAUACGUAGGUGGCAAGCGUUAUCCGGAAUUAUUGGGCGUAAAGCGCGCGUAGGCGGUUUUUUAAGUCUGAUGUGAAAGCCCACGGCUCAACCGUGGAGGGUCAUUGGAAACUGGAAAACUUGAGUGCAGAAGAGGAAAGUGGAAUUCCAUGUGUAGCGGUGAAAUGCGCAGAGAUAUGGAGGAACACCAGUGGCGAAGGCGACUUUCUGGUCUGUAACUGACGCUGAUGUGCGAAAGCGUGGGGAUCAAACAGGAUUAGAUACCCUGGUAGUCCACGCCGUAAACGAUGAGUGCUAAGUGUUAGGGGGUUUCCGCCCCUUAGUGCUGCAGCUAACGCAUUAAGCACUCCGCCUGGGGAGUACGACCGCAAGGUUGAAACUCAAAGGAAUUGACGGGGACCCGCACAAGCGGUGGAGCAUGUGGUUUAAUUCGAAGCAACGCGAAGAACCUUACCAAAUCUUGACAUCCUUUGACAACUCUAGAGAUAGAGCCUUCCCCUUCGGGGGACAAAGUGACAGGUGGUGCAUGGUUGUCGUCAGCUCGUGUCGUGAGAUGUUGGGUUAAGUCCCGCAACGAGCGCAACCCUUAAGCUUAGUUGCCAUCAUUAAGUUGGGCACUCUAAGUUGACUGCCGGUGACAAACCGGAGGAAGGUGGGGAUGACGUCAAAUCAUCAUGCCCCUUAUGAUUUGGGCUACACACGUGCUACAAUGGACAAUACAAAGGGCAGCGAAACCGCGAGGUCAAGCAAAUCCCAUAAAGUUGUUCUCAGUUCGGAUUGUAGUCUGCAACUCGACUACAUGAAGCUGGAAUCGCUAGUAAUCGUAGAUCAGCAUGCUACGGUGAAUACGUUCCCGGGUCU
rnacentral:rRNA from 1 species